GGGCGGCUGCCCUCCGCCAGCGAGGACAAAGGGCUAGUGUGACAGCCUUUUGUAUCUGCACUUGUGGUUCCAAAGCUCUCGUCUGCAGGAAAAAUGAGGUCGCAAGAACGAACUGAAGAAUGGUAAAUGUGGGGAUUUUAUUGCCAAUGAAAGCAGCUUUCAGCGGGAAGGGGAGCUGAAAAAAGGAUGAGACUGCUGUUAUUUUGUAUCCUGUUGUGAUAACAGAACGCACUUUGGUCAUAGCGGGAAUAAAGCUUCAGGAGACAUAUCUACUGAAAAAAAAAGAUGGAAAGAAUAAAAGAAAAAAGGAUCUGGGCUAACAACCAGCGUUCAUGAGUGUUUCUCUCAUGUCAAGGUUUUAUGAA
rnacentral:lncRNA from 13 species